rnacentral:hammerhead_ribozyme from 1 species
AUCCAGCUAACCAGUCCUAAAUAAGACGAAACGCUCUUCUUGGAU